rnacentral:rRNA from 1 species
ACGGCUCAGUAACACGUCGAUAAUCUGCCCUUAGGUCUAUGCGAACCUCGGGAAACUGAGGCUAAACUUGAUAGGGGUUAUGAACUGGAAUGUUCUUUCCCUGAACUAAGGAUGAGUCGGCGGCAGAUUAGGUAGAUGGAGAGGUAACGGCUCACCAUGCCUAAGAUCUGUACGGGCCAUGGGAGUGGUCGCCCGGAGAGGGAUACUGAGAUACUGAUCCCAGCCCUACGGGGUGCAGCAGGCGCGGAAACUUUACAAUGCACGCAAGUGUGAUAAGGGAAUCCAAAGUGCUUACGCUUUGCGUAGGCUUUUGCCAAGUCUAAAAAGCUUGGAGAAUAAGUGGUGGGUAAGACUGGUGCCAGCAGCCGCGGUAACCCCAGCGCCACGAGUGGGAGUCGCUUUUAUUGGGCCUAAAGCGUUCGUAGCCUGUUUUGUAAGUCUUUUGUGAAAUUGUUAGGCUUAACCUAACAGCGUGCAAGAGAUACUGCAAUUCUUGAGACCGGGAGGAGUAUGGGGUAUUCCAUGGGGAACGGUAAAAUGUAAUAAUCCAUGGAGGACCACCAGUGGCGAAGGCGCCAUACUAGAACGGAUCUGACGGUGAGGGACGAAGGCUAGGGGAGCAAAACGGAUUAGAUACCCGAGUAGUCCUGGCAGUAAACUCUGUGUGCUAGGUGUUGCAUUUUCUUGUGAACGUGCAGUAUCGAAGUGAAGACAUUAAGCACACCGCCUGGGUAGUACGGUCGCAAGGCUGAAACUUAAAGGAAUUGGCGGAGGAGCAC